rnacentral:tRNA from 2 species
GGGCGCUUAGCUCAGUUGGCUAGAGCACUUCGUUUACACCGAAGGGGUCGGGGGUUCGAGCCCCUCAGCGCCCACCA